GACGAACGCUGGCGGCGUGCUUAACACAUGCAAGUCGAACGGAAAGGCCCUGCUUUUGUGGGGUGCUCGAGUGGCGAACGGGUGAGUAACACGUGAGUAACCUGCCCUUGACUUUGGGGUAACUUCAGGAAACUGGGGCUAAUACCGGAUAGGAGCUCCUGCUGCAUGGUGGGGGUUGGAAAGUUUCGGCGGUUGGGGAUGGACUCGCGGCUUAUCAGCUUGUUGGUGGGGUAGUGGCUUACCAAGGCUUUGACGGGUAGCCGGCCUGAGAGGGUGGCCGGCCACCAUGGGACUGCGAUACGGCCCAGACUCCUACGGGCGGCAGCAGUGGGGAAUAUUGCACAAUGGGCGGAAGUCUGAUGCAGCAACGCCGCGUGCGGGAUGACGGCUUUCGGGUUGUAAACCGCUUUCGCCUGUGACGAAGCGUGAGUGACGGUAAUGGGUAAAGAAGCACCGGCUAACUACGUG
rnacentral:rRNA from 1 species